UCUUGCUUGUUUAUAGGUGACCAAAUACUUAUUUUCCACCAUUAUUUUCACAUAAAUUCUUAAGAAAUCAGGGGGUGCCGAGUGGUCUAGCGGUCUAAAGCGCUGCCUCUAUGAGCGGGAGGUCGCAGGUUCGAACCCCCACUCAUCAGCUGCCGGCGCUCAGAGGGAGCAAAAUUGGCUCUGCUCCCUCUGGGGUGGGUAGAUGGCGCUCUCUCCCCAUCACACUUGAGGUCGCGCUGGGCGGCACGAGGCGUCUGUGAGCGGAUGAAUCGGAACCUAGCCUCUGUGCUUUCCUCCGAGCGCGCAAACCGCUCAGGCAAUGAUUCAUCCGCAGCAACUCAAAAAAAGGGAUGACUGACUUCACACGUGUCGGAGGAGGCGUGUGCUCGUCCGCAUCCUCCAAGGGUCACGGGCGUCACCGGUGAUGGGGACGCACAAAGGGGUGGGACAAUUGGAUAUCCAAAUUGGGAGAAAAUGGGGAAAAAUCAGAAAUAAAAGAUUAAACAAAUUCUUUAAAAAUCAGAAUGUUAUUUUAAAUUUUGUCUCUUAUAGUUGAGGUCUACCUGAUGAUGUCAGUUACAGGCCUUUGCAACGUUAAUUAACGUUUAUUGUGUGAAUGAAGAGGUUGUUGUUUCAGUCUCAGUCAGCAGGGGGAUCAGUAUGAAGUGUGUGAUAACGUGUAUGAAGAGGUGGAGACCAUCACCAAACUGCAGAUCAGAGAAAACUCCCGCAAACGCAAAGAUCCUCCCAAGAAUCCCUAUGCUGAGUCUCCAGCGAGAGAGGAAACCUACAAAAGCAUACGGCACGUCUCACAAUGGAAGGAGCGCUUGAGUCCGGAACACCAGGAUGAGAAAGAGCAGCGGAAGAGAGAGAAACAGCGUCUGGAGCGAGAGAAGAAAGAACAGAAGGAGAGGGAGAAAAAGGAAAACCUGAUGAAAAAGAAGUUUAAAGUGAGUCUCCUGUUAGAGUUUUGUAGUUUAGUUAAUUUAAAAUGUUUUUUGUUCACUUGCAAACAG
rnacentral:lncRNA from 1 species